rnacentral:lncRNA from 1 species
AUGCAAAACAAUGAAAUUAUAAAACCUGCCAAAUACUUCUCAGAACUAGAAAAGAGUACCCUGCUGAUUUUAGUAGAAAAGUACAAAUAUGUGCUGGAAUGUAAGAAAAGUGAUGUGUGAACUAUUGCCCUUAAGCAAUCAAUGUACCUGCAGGCGCUGACCCACGAAUGCAACUCUCAGCCGAGCUGUCCCUGCCGGAUUUCAAACAGCUGAAGAAGGGCUGGGAGAACAUCAAGGCUUGGACUAAAACAAUUAUGGCCCAUGAAAGGAGAGAGAAGGUGAAAGGGAGCGUCAGCCCCCUCCUGAGUAACCAAGUCCUAGGGAAGGAGAUCACCAGCAUGCUGCUGGAGCAGCUCUACUUCCUGCAGAGCACUCCUUCCACCCCUCCCCCCGGAGGAGGAGCCCAAAUACCACGCCACGGCCCAAGAAUCAUUUGCUGUUUCAAAUAGAGAACUGUGCGAUGAUGAGAAAGAGUUCAUACGUUUUCCAACACGUGAGAGGACCUCUCAACCUGAACCCUCGUGUUCAGCUGUCAGAAUAACAGCCAAUAAAAACUACAUGAGCAAAAUCUCUCAGGAAGGUGCUUUAAAAAAGAUGCACGAGGACUGAACAUGAUCAACAAAUGUCCAUCUUACAAUUGCAACUGAUACAAAUGAAUGAGGUGCAUUGUGGCCAAAAUCCAGCAGACAGAGCGAGAGUGUGAGAUGGCAGAGGAGGAACACAGGAUAAAAAUGAAGUUCUCAAUAAAGAGAAGAUGUAUUGGGAAAAAAAACUACAAACUUUUACCAAGGAAUGGCCUGCUUCCUCAUUUAACCGGCCCUUUCCCAAUUCACCCUAA